AGUGAUUGGGCCUAAGGCCCAACCGAUCCCCAAACUGAAGCAAAAGAAGGAGAGAUCCACUUGUUGGAUCCACACACACGCGCACCUGCUCAAUUACCUCACUCUCUUGUUCAAAAGUUCUGAUGAACACCUAAUCGACUCCGCCACUUCGGAGCUCAUUUCUGGCGGCGGCGGAGCUCCCUACCACCUUAAAUUUGCAUCAUUCCCAUCGUCUCAAACUAUCCUUUCCAAAUCCACAACCAAUUUCUCCUAAUUCCUCCUUAAACACACAAACAGAAGCAAGCUUCUUAAGAACCCUAGGUGAUAAUUCAUAAGUUAAACUCUCCCAAAGAGGAAUCCAAGCCUCUAAUCUUAGAGCUUUGGUUCCUCCGCUCAACUCCUACACAGCUGUAACAAAAUCAGAGCAAAACAAAGAAGAUGGAAUUACCUUCGAAGGCGCUGCUUUAACAGAGUUGAUGAACGAGAACUGAAGAACAUGAAUCUGAAGGCUCCAAAUCAUGAAAUGAGUUCUCUCUUCCUUGACACGCUUACUCUUCUCCACUCUUCUUUUUCAUCUUUUGCAGUGAGUUGUUAUGAUCUUCUUAUUGUUGCUCGUGUCAGAGAUGUAGGGAUAUUGAUAUGAUUCAGAAGCUUGGGAUGAAUUCAGAGAGGUAUGAGGUAGAGAGAAUCAAGAGAGAAAAUGGAUUCAGAGAGUGUUGUUGUGGGAGGUUUUGAGAGGUUCUGAUUCGAUGAAUUUAGGGAAUGGAUCGUCCAGGUGGAAAUGGUGAUGUGAAGAUGAAUUUAUAGAGUUAAGGAUUGAGGUUUGUAAUGAUAGUUAGUUAUGGAUUCUAUUAUGAUGCAUUGGUAGGCUUUGAAAUUAGUUAUCAGUAAGUGAAAUUCAGUUAUGUCGAGUUGUGUUAUGUUGUAAAUGAACUUAGUUAAAGUUGGUUUCUCAUGAUUUAUCCUGCUAUUUUCAGUUAAAGGUCUGUUAAGUUAGUUUGGUUUCCUUUAGGAUGAAUAUUAUGGACUAUCUUGAAUUCAAGCUGAAUUCUGUUAUGAUUGUUAAUGUUUGUUAAGUUUCUGUUUAGAAUUGUUAAGAUUUGUUAAUUGUGUUAGAAAACUCUAUUUAUGUUAAUGUUAGAUGCUUGCAAUGAAUAUGAGUGAUGGUACAUUGUUGGCUUGUUAUAAAUUGAAAUGCCUUGUUAUUCCAAUGCUGAAUGUAUGAUAUGUAAGUAAUAGAAAUUCAACAUUGUGAAGUUAGGAAUGUAUGUGUAUACUAGUUGCUACUAUGCUGCUUGGUUUGGUUGGAAUGGAUCAUGUAUGUUACAUUGUAAUGUGGUUGUAUGGUUAUUGUUGUUUUUGCAGGAUGGUACACACACGAGGAUUGAGCAAAGUAACAUGGUCAUGGCCAACAUCAAUAAUGGAAGUUUUUGAGGACUCAUGCAAAAAAUGGGAUAGCUUGUAGAAAAAGUAAAGCAGGAAUUAAGGUUAGGAUAAGUAGAUUUAGUCGGUUGACUUUGGUAAACUGGUUGACCAAAAGUCAACUUAGGUUAAAAAUGUAUUUUUUUUUGUAUGAAAAUGAAUUUUUCUAAGGAUUUUGUGAUGUAAUGAUGGAUUGUUUCAAAUUGAAGUAAUUAAUGAACAAACAUGAUUCUUGUAUUGAAAUUCAAACAAAGUUUCUUACUAAACUUAAUUUUGAACAUGCAUUAUGAACCAUGCAUCAUGUAA
rnacentral:lncRNA from 1 species